GAUGAACGCUAGCGACAGGCUUAACACAUGCAAGUCGAGGGGCAGCGAUAGGUGGCAACACCGAGUCGGCGACCGGCGCACGGGUGAGUAACGCGUAUGCAACCUACCCAUCAGCGGGGGGAGUAACCCGUCCGAAAGACGGACUAAUACCGCAUAAAACAAGGGGUUCCGGCAUGGAAAUAUUUGUUAAAGAUUUAUUGCUGAUGGAUGGGCAUGCGUUCUAUUAGGCAGUUGGCGGGGUAAC
rnacentral:rRNA from 1 species